rnacentral:rRNA from 1 species
GUAGUUAGCCGUGGCUUCCUCCUUAGGUACCGUCAUUAUCGUCCCUAAAGACAGAGCUUUACAAUCCGAAAACCUUCUUCCCUCACGCGGCGUUGCUGGGUCAGGCUUGCGCCCAUUGCCCAAUAUUCCCCACUGCUGCCUCCCGUAGGAGUCUGGACCGUGUCUCAGUUCCAGUGUGGCCGAUCAGCCUCUCAGCUCGGCUACCCAUCGUCGGCUUGGUGGGCUGUUAUCUCACCAACUACCUAAUGGGACGCGAACCCCUCUAAAAGCGAUAAAUCUUUGACCUCUUCCCGAUGCCGGGUUGUGGUCUUAUGCGGUAUUAGCAGUUGUUUCCACCUGUUAUUCCCCACUCUUAGGCAGGUUGUUCACGCGUUACUCACCCGUGCGCCACUAGAAUUAUCAAUUCCAUCCGAAAACUUCCUUAAUAAUCCCCGUUCGACUUGCAUGUGUUAGGCACGCCGCCAGCGUUCGUCCUGAGCACGAAUACAACUACUAGA